rnacentral:RNase_P_RNA from 1 species
CAGCAUAAGAGGGUAGUGACUUGAAAGAUUUCAAGAGGAAAGUCCGAGCUGCUGUAAGACAGUGUUCCAUUUAACAAAUGGCCGUAGUAAUACGAGGGAAAGUGCAACAGAAAAUAGACUUCCAUACUUUUGUAUGGUAAAGGUGAAAAGGUAGUGUAAGAGACUACCAGUCUUUAUGGCAACAUAAAGAGCUUGUAAACCCAACAUGGCAGCAAGAAGCAGAUGGUUAGCGUCUUACAUUGCUAUUGCUUCGCUAGAGACGUAAUGUAAAUUAUGUAGUAGAUUAAUGCUACCAAAACAAAACUCGGCUUACAUCUUAUGCUACAAG